rnacentral:sRNA from 10 species
AAUCAUUAAAGUUGGCUACGUUACCAAAAUUGAAAAGCAUUUGCAGUGGUGGAGUUAUGGUUUCUUCAGAUUCUCUCCAAAGUCUUCAAAUAUGCUAUUGUCCAAAAUUAAAGAGGAUCCCUUUGUCUCUUCCCCUUGUUGAAAAUGGGAAACCAUCUCCUCCUCCUUCUCUAAAAGUAAUCACAGUAUGGCCGAUAGAAUGGUGGGAAUCAGUGGAAUGGGAUCAGCCUGAUGCUAGGGAUCUCCUUUCUCCCUUUGUUCGAUAUUCUUUCUUCUAGAAUGAGAUGGAGAAGAGGUGUUUGAUUAAAUGUGGCUGCAAGGCUCUUGCUUCUUAUUAAAAGCUGCAAACAUUGCUUGGAGAUUAUGGGAGGAAGGAAGGCACCCCUGUUGAACUUGGUGAUGAAUUCUUAGGACUAUCCUGCAACCUAUCAGAUGUGAGACGAUGCAUCCACAUUGGUCUUUUAUGUCUACAACAGCUCGCUAUGUCAUCUCAAUUGUCCCCCUGAAGCAUCUUCAUCUGGCAAGCCUGGAUCAUUCUCACUGAAUGAAAGAACCGCAUCGAUGUUGGAGGUUUGUUAGGGAGUUGUAUCCUCAUAUCAUUCCCUGAAAGAUGGAACUCAUGACACUGGUCCCAAGGGUGUAAGCACAAUAAGCCUUUACUGCCAAAGCAGAGAUAGAUUUAUCAUAUUUAAAAGAUUCAAAAGUGCCAGAUGCUACACAUUCUUGUGUGACUAAAACUAUGAAUCUCAAGGAAUGCAGGGCUAAAUGUCUACACAACUCUUCCUAUAUGGCAUACGCUAGUUCAGAUAACAGAGGAAGAGAUAGUGGUUGGGCUCUUUGGUUUGAUAAUCUGAUUGAUUACAGACAAUUUCAAUCAGAAGGGCAGGAUCUAUAUGUUAGAGUGUCUGCUUGAGAAUCAGGUAAGCCUUGGCUGAAGCUUGCUACAAUGAUUGCAACACCACUAUGCUAUGCUUUUAGGGCUGUACUAUCAGUUAUUACAUUUAGAGAAGCUGCAGAAAGCUGAAAGAGAAGCAGAAGACAAUAAGGAAAAUGAUCAAGAAAAUCAAGGCCAGGAUAAAGACGUGGAGCUUCCAAUAUUUGAGCUUGCUACCGUAGCUCGUGCUACUGAUAGCUUUUCUAUGGACAACAAGCUAGGGGAAGGUGGUUUUGGACCUGCUUUUUAGUUUUCCAGGUGACACUAGCAAAUAGACAAGAAACUGUUGUGAAGAGGCUUUCAAAGAGCUUAAAAAUGAAGGAAAAUUGAUUGCCGAACUUUAGCAUCAGAAUCUUGUGAGGCUUCUUGGGUGCUGCAUUCAUGGAGAGGAAAGAUGGCCGGUUUAUGAGUACAUGCUUAACAGAAGCCUUGACUAAUUCAUUUUUGGUCUGAAUUUUCAAAACCUUUCAAUUUAAUUGGGUUUAUUGCUUCUCCUAUCAUAAAUAUGGCCUACAUUUUACACAUGGUAUAAUUUGCUGCUUUCAAAUAUCAAAAAUACUUACCAAUUGCCAGAUCAAACAAUAAGUAAAGGACUGAAUUGGUCCAAGUGUUUUCUGCGGCAUUGCUAGGGGACUACUUUAUCUUCAUCAAGAUUCCAGAUGAAGGAUUACUUAUAGAGAUCUCAAAGCUAGCAACGUUCUGCUCGAUAGUGAAAUGAAUCCAAAAUUUUCCGAUUUUGGCCUGGCUACAACUUUUGGAGGAGACCAAACCAAAGGGAACACUGAAAGAAUGGCAUGGAGAUUAUGGGAGGAACCCAGGCAGGCCUGUCGAACUUGUUGAUGAUUUCAUUAGGACUGUCUUACAAUUUAUCACAUGUGAGACGAUGCAUCCACAUUGCUCUUUUAUGUCUACAACAACUUGAUGAGAACAGAUCAACUAUGUCAUUUGUGAUUCUGAUGUUGGGAAGUUAAAUUGAAUUGCCUCAACCCAAACAACAUGGGAGUUUUUUUUUUUGGUUUAUGAACUGUUCCCCUGAAACAGAUUCCACAUAUUUGUGGUUCAAACUGGAAUUGGGAUGAUACCUAGCUUCCACUUUUUAAAAGAUUCAAGCCUGCUCAUCAAACUGGUCUCAAGGGUGUAAGCACAAGAAGCCAUUAAAUUGCUUCUGAUUGAUUGUAGACAAUGUCAAUCAGAAGGGCAAAAUCUAUAUGUUAAAAACUUUCUGCUCAGUAUCAGAAUUGAAAGAUAAGCCUAGGAUGAAGCUCGAUGCAUUGAUUGCAACACCACUGUGCUGUGCUUUAGGGCUGCAUUGAUUACAUUAAUAGAAGCUGUGGAAAGUUGAAAGGCCUAUUUUGAAUAUUGUUUCAGAGAAACAGAAAGCAAUAAGGAAAAUGAUUCAGAAAAUCAAGGCCAGGAUGACGACGUGGAGCUUCCAAUAUUUGGGCUUCCUACCAUAGCUCUUGCUACUGAUAGCUUUUCUAUGGACAGCAAGCUAGUGGAAGGUGGUUUCGGAACUGUUCAUAAGGGCACACUACCAAAUGGACAAGAAAUUGCUGUGAAGAGGCUUUCAAAGAGUUCUGGAAAAGGAUUGAACGAGUUUAAAAGUGAAGUAAAAUUGAUUGCCAAACUUCAGCAUUAGAAUCUCGUAAGGCUUCUUGGGUGCUGCAAUCAUGGAGAGGAAAGACUGUUUCUUUAUGAGUAAAUGCUUAACAGAAGCCUUGACUCAGUCAUUUUUGGUCUGAAUCAUUCAAAACCCUUCAAUUUAAUAUGGUUUAUAAUCAAGACAGAGUAGCAACCUUGUUGGACAUGUCAAUUUAAGCAGAUAUUAUUAUAAUCAAGUUUUUGUUGCUUAUUUUAAACUGAUAAAACCUAAAAGGGUUUCAAUUGUUGAAGGCAUGGAGAUGGAAAGAAGGCAUUCUUUUAGAACUUGUUGAAGAAUGCUUAGGAGAGUAAUCUAUCAGAAGAGAUACGAUGCAUCC